rnacentral:rRNA from 1 species
AACGAACGCUGGCGGCAUGCCUAACACAUGCAAGUCGAACGAGACCUUCGGGUCUAGUGGCGCACGGGUGCGUAACGCGUGGGAACCUGCCCUUAGGUUCGGAAUAACUCCCCGAAAGGGGUGCUAAUACCGGAUAAUGUCUUCGGACCAAAGAUUUAUCGCCUUUGGAUGGGCCCGCGUUGGAUUAGCUAGUUGGUAGGGUAAAAGCCUACCAAGGCGACGAUCCAUAGCUGGUCUGAGAGGAUGAUCAGCCACACUGGGACUGAGACACGGCCCAGACUCCUACGGGAGGCAGCAGUGGGGAAUAUUGGACCAUGGGCGAAAGCCUGAUCCAGCAAUGCCGCGUGAGUGAUGAAGGCCUUAGGGUUGUAAAGCUCUUUUACCCGGGAUGAUAAUGACAGUACCGGGAGAAUAAGCUCCGGCUAACUCCGU